AUGAGCUCAUCAAGCACACACCUUUUGUGGUUCAGUGGUCACGAUUGUGAGAGCAAGAUUAGCGUGAGAUUUUGUCUGGUUAGGGAUUGUAAGACCAAAGCUGAGACCUGGACUGAGGCAUGCUACUGCUGCCUUGUGCUGUCCGAUAUGCCAUGUUGGCAUAAGCUACACGAGUGUCAAGCAAACUGCCCGGCGUGCCACCCCAAGUGCUAG
rnacentral:rRNA from 1 species